UUUUUGGUUUAACAUGGAUAGCUACAUGUACUCGUUGCUAUUUUUAAGCCUUGUGAUUUUCACUAAAGGCAGUGAAACUCUGAACAGUCAGGACCGCUGCCAUGGAGAUGUGAAUUCAAAUGCAAAAUUACAAUUGGACAUCGCAAAAUUGUUAGAUUUUUCGUCUAAAUUAAGAUCCGUGUCGGGGACUUUAUACGGUGAACACUUGGCUUUGGUAUCUUCUGCGGUGACCUCAGUAGGUGUACCUGGUAAGGCGCUUUAUUUCUUUGACAAAUUAGACAAUAAUCCAUUCACAUUUAUUUUAACCUAAAAUUUAUGAUAUGAUUUCUCAUUAUUUGAAAUUCUGUAAAAUAUUGAUUUACGUAUUUGAAGCAUCUGACAAUUAAUUUUAACAGUUUUUUUUCAUAUUUUUUGCUGUAUAUCACAAAGAUGCAUAGCGGAUAUUGUGGUUUUUUGUCAGUUUCAAAAGUACAAGCGGUAUGUCGUGACCACCCAUUACUGGUAUUUCCUCAUGCGGACGAAUGUCAGCUGUAUUACAACUGCUCCUUGACGUACUCCGAUGUUCCUCCUCACUUAGAGCAGCACAUGGUGGAAUGUCCAUAUCCGAGUCUGUUCUCCACUAAGUCUUUGAGAUGUGAGAACUUUACAGAGGUAUGCUGUGGAAUGAGAAAAGAGGUGAAGGAUAAAUGUAAGCAUUUAACAAUUUUUGACUUGUUGUUGUUGUUGUGAUUCUAUACACAUCUCAUUGCUUGUGCAUGUUUAUUUUUAUGUAUUAGUCACAUCACAAUGCAUACUUAUAGGCGAAUAUAGGAUUCAUUCGGGGAGCACCUCCACAUGCGAAUGGCAAUAUCCAAGCUGUAGCGGCAAAGAGGACGGUUAUCAUCAAGGUUACCAAGGCAUCAAUGCGUAUUUCAACUGCUUUCAGGAGAGAUUAAUAAAUACGGGCACGUGUGAAGACGAUAGUUUGUGGAACAUUUACAAGAUACCGUAUCAUGGCCAAUGCACCAAUCCGUUCGAAGUUCCAUUCCAAGAUGGUGGAUUCCUGUCAAGUUGCGAAGGAAAGGAAGACGGGAAUUACCGAUUUGAACAUGAUAGUUAUUACAGACAACAAGGAGAUUACUUUGGAGUCGGGAGACAAUGUGAUGCUUAUUAUCGUUGCCAAAGAGGCGUAGCGAGCGCUGUAAAAUGUCCAAAUGGAACCGUGUUCGAAUCAGUAAGUAGAAGUUGUAAGCCUGGAAACCACUCCAUUGAGUUAGGGUGUCAGCUUUAUUGCAAUCCAAAUUUUAAGAUGUGGAACGGUUUUCCAAAUAAUUUAGCAGAGUGUCCGUAUCCAGAGCAGUUCUCUGACGUAACUCAUCGAUGUGAAAACUUUACAAAGGUCACGUGUGGAUCGCGUCCACAAGUCAAAGACUAUUGCAAGUACUGGGUUCAACUCUUCAUGAAUCGACAUAUGGGGAACUGUCAAGCUUAUCACUUUAGCUGCGCAGGCUUACCUGACGGAUUUAAUGAACAUCCGGUUAAGCGUCCUGGUCCUUUUUACAUCAUCUGUCUCCAAGAAAGAGUUAUAGCUGAAGGAACCUGUCCGAGAGACACCGAUUGGCAGGCGCAAAUGUUUCCUUACAACGGCAAGUGUACACAUCGAUUCGCUAUUCCAAUUUCCUGGUUCAAAAUUGGACUUCUUCCGGACUGUUCCGGAAAAGCUGACGGACAUUAUCAAUAUCCUACUAGACCUUGCGACGUCUACUACAAAUGUGAAGGUGGGGUUGCAACCGCGGUGAAAUGUCCACCUAAUACAAACUUUGAUACAGCCACUAGAGUCUGCAGUGUCAGUGCGUCUUGUUCUUCAGCACAAUUAUGAUAUCGAUUAUUUUGAUUGCAAUAAAACACG
rnacentral:misc_RNA from 1 species